CUGGUUUCUUGGUGUUGGAGGAGAGAGGAGCUUGUGCAGCCCAGUCUGGUGUGGUGUGCCGCCUCUUCUUGGUUCAGCCUGAAGAUUCAGGCCCACUCACUUCUAAAGAUUAUUGCAGUGAUGGCAAAUCUUUCAGAGAUGGAGUGCCCACACUGCCUCAUGUGAGUCCCAUGCUUUACUCCAGACAUGGAAGGGAGGAGGCCUUUCCAUUGGACUGCUGGACAGAGAGGUUUAGACCUGCAAGAGGCAUCAUUAUAUAGAGCCAAAUACCUCAUUUGAAGGUGAACAUUUUAUGUCCAAAGGA
rnacentral:lncRNA from 1 species